rnacentral:rRNA from 1 species
AGGACGAACGCUGGCGGCGUGCCUAACACAUGCAAGUCGAACGAGAAAGUGGAGCAAUCCACGAGUAAAGUGGCGCACGGGUGAGUAACACGUGACUAACCUACCCUUGAGUGGGGAAUAACUGAGGGAAAACCUUAGCUAAUACCGCAUAACACCUACGGGUCAAAGGAGCAAUUCGCUUAAGGAGGGGGUCGCGGCAGAUUAGUUAGUUGGCGGGGUAAUGGCCCACCAAGACAGUGAUCUGUA